AUUGAACGCUGGCGGCAGGCCUAACACAUGCAAGUCGAGCGGAUGAAGGGAGCUUGCUCCUGGAUUCAGCGGCGGACGGGUGAGUAAUGCCUAGGAAUCUGCCUGGUAGUGGGGGAUAACGUCCGGAAACGGGCGCUAAUACCGCAUACGUCCUGAGGGAGAAAGUGGGGGAUCUUCGGACCUCACGCUAUCAGAUGAGCCUAGGUCGGAUUAGCUAGUUGGUGGGGUAAAGGCCUACCAAGGCGACGAUCCGUAACUGGUCUGAGAGGAUGAUCAGUCACACUGGAACUGAGACACGGUCCAGACUCCUACGGGAGGCAGCAUGGGGAAUAUUGGACAAUGGGCGAAAGCCUGAUCCAGCCAUGCCGCGUGUGUGCAGAAGGUCUUCGGAUUGUAAAGCACUUUAAGUUGGGAGGAAGGGCAGUAAGUUAAUACCUUGCUGUUUUGACGUUACCAACAGAAUAAGCACCGGCUAACUUCGUG
rnacentral:rRNA from 1 species